UACGGAGGAUCCAAGCGUUAUCCGGAUUUAUUGGGUUUAAAGGGUGCGUAGGCGGGCUUAUAAGUCAGCGGUGAAAGUUCUCGGCUCAACCGAGGAAUUGCCAUUGAAACUAUGAGCCUUGAGUGUAGAUGAGGUGGGCGGAAUUCGUAGUGUAGCGGUGAAAUGCUUAGAUAUUACGAAGAACUCCAAUUGCGAAGGCAGCUCACUGGGCUACAACUGACGCUGAGGCACGAAGGUGCGGGGAUCAAACAGGAUUAGAUACCCUGGUAGUCCGCACAGUAAACGAUGAAUACUAACUGUUUGCGAUACACAGUAAGCGGUACAGCGAAAGCGUUAAGUAUUCCACCUGGGGAGUACGCCGGCAACGGUG
rnacentral:rRNA from 1 species